GCCAAAUACAUGGAACAUAUGUGCUCUGCUGCAAACACUUCACACGGGAUUGCUUCACAAGUGAUGCCCGCACAAGGAUCACACGAGGAGCAGUCCCCUCUGUGAAGACUUUUUCAAAGAUGUCAUGUGCAAGAAGACAUGCUCCAAGAAGACAACCCUCUGCAUGACCAUGAGAAUGCUCAGCUUCACAGCAGUGGUGGAGAGGACGACAAUCGCCCCUCUGAUGACGACUUGGCCACAACAGCCACGCCGCUGUUAUUGGAGCCAGUCGACCUGACAGAUUAAUGGAAGUGCACGCAUACUUUGCAUGUUGUUCUACUGUAUAUCCUAGAGCUUAAAAAGACACGUAAACACAAAUUACCACACACUGAAAAAAUAUGCCCACUUGAUCAAGGUGGGCUACCACAACAUGGGUAUAAGUUUACUGUAACAAAAAUACAGUUCGUAAAAGUUAUUCUACAAUCCUUUGACAUUCAAAUAGAGUGUCCCUAUAAGAAUGUGCCAGCAAUACAUAAAAUUGAGGAGCUUACUUAACUGGAUGACAAUAUAAGCGGGGUGAUGAAAGCGAGAAUUUAUAUAGCUUCCUGUGUAGGCCAUUAGAUUUGUUGAAGAAAUGUCAAACGUUUCAUAGAAUUCAGUUAUCCCAGCAUAUAAUUACAAGGCUUGCGUUUGUUACUUCUAAACAUUGCAUGAUGUAAAUUUAAAUAAUGGACAUUGAUUAAUAAAUAAUAACAGUAGCAGCAUUCCUUUCGCACUACAACAAUUUCAAGUGCACUCAGACUUUUAAUUCCCGCCAUACAGAUGUCAAGCACAACCCACAAUGACUUAACUGCACAUUUUUGCAUAUACGUACAACGCUCUUAAAAUCGCUAAGAAAUAAAAAACGGAAUUGAAAACCUUCGGCUAGGACAUUUCAAGUUAUAAGCAUUUAUACGAAUGAUUUUUUCGCCACACUGUAGUUAUUGAGCACAUUGUGCAAUUUGUUGCUCACUUUUAACAUUCAGUUGACCUUUAUAUAUAUCAUAAAUUAUUAGUGCUCCAGUUUUUUUAA